GGGUUGUGAGGUUAAGCGACUAAGCGUACACGGUGGAUGCCCUGGCAGUCAGAGGCGAUGAAGGACGUGCUAAUCUGCGAAAAGCGUCGGUAAGGUGAUAUGAACCGUUACAGCCGGCGAUGUCCGAAUGGGGAAACCCAGUGUGAUUCGUCACACUAUCGUUAACUGAAUACAUAGGUUAACGAGGCGAACCGGGGGAACUGAAACAUCUAAGUACCCCGAGGAAAAGAAAUCAACCGAGAUUCCCCCAGUAGCGGCGAGCGAACGGGGAGCAGCCCAGAGUCUGAAUCAGCUUGUGUGUUAGUGGAACGGUCUGGAAAGUCCGACGGUACAGGGUGAUAGUCCCGUACACCAAAAUGCACAGGCUGUGAACUCGAAGAGUAGGGCGGGACACGUGGUAUCCUGUCUGAAUAUGGGGGGACCAUCCUCCAAGGCUAAAUACUCCUGACUGACCGAUAGUGAACCAGUACCGUGAGGGAAAGGCGAAAAGAACCCCGGCGAGGGGAGUGAAAAAGAACCUGAAACCGUGUACGUACAAGCAGUGGGAGCACCUUCGGGUGUGACUGCGUACCUUUUGUAUAAUGGGUCAGCGACUUAUAUUCUGUAGCAAGGUUAACCGUAUAGGGGAGCCGCAGGGAAACCGAGUCUUAACUGGGCGUUAAGUUGCAGGGUAUAGACCCGAAACCCGGUGAUCUAGCCAUGGGCAGGUUGAAGGUUGGGUAACACUAACUGGAGGACCGAACCGACUAAUGUUGAAAAAUUAGCGGAUGACUUGUGGCUGGGGGUGAAAGGCCAAUCAAACCGGGAGAUAGCUGGUUCUCCCCGAAAGCUAUUUAGGUAGCGCCUCGUGAAUUCAUCUUCGGGGGUAGAGCACUGUUUCGGCUAGGGGGUCAUCCCGACUUACCAACCCGAUGCAAACUACGAAUACCGAAGAAUGUUAUCACGGGAGACACACGGCGGGUGCUAACGUCCGUCGUGAAGAGGGAAACAACCCAGACCGCCAGCUAAGGUCCCAAAGUCAUGGUUAAGUGGGAAACGAUGUGGGAAGGCACAGACAGCCAGGAUGUUGGCUUAGAAGCAGCCAUCAUUUAAAGAAAGCGUAAUAGCUCACUGGUCGAGUCGGCCUGCGCGGAAGAUGUAACGGGGCUAAACCAUGCACCGAAGCUGCGGCAGCGACACUAUGUGUUGUUGGGUAGGGGAGCGUUCUGUAAGCCUGCGAAGGUGACCUGUGAGGGUUGCUGGAGGUAUCAGAAGUGCGAAUGCUGACAUAAGUAACGAUAAAGCGGGUGAAAAGCCCGCUCGCCGGAAGACCAAGGGUUCCUGUCCAACGUUAAUCGGGGCAGGGUGAGUCGACCCCUAAGGCGAGGCCGAAAGGCGUAGUCGAUGGGAAACAGGUUAAUAUUCCUGUACUUGGUGUUACUGCGAAGGGGGGACGGAGAAGGCUAUGUUAGCCGGGCGACGGUUGUCCCGGUUUAAGCAUGUAGGCUGGUUAUCCAGGCAAAUCCGGAUAAUCAAGGCUGAGGUGUGAUGACGAGGCACUACGGUGCUGAAGUAACAAAUGCCCUGCUUCCAGGAAAAGCCUCUAAGCAUCAGGUAACAUUAAAUCGUACCCCAAACCGACACAGGUAGUCAGGUAGAGAAUACCAAGGCGCUUGAGAGAACUCGGGUGAAGGAACUAGGCAAAAUGGUGCCGUAACUUCGGGAGAAGGCACGCUGGUGUGUAGGUGAAGUCCCUGCGGAUGGAGCUGAGACCAGUCGAAGAUACCAGCUGGCUGCAACUGUUUAUUAAAAACACAGCACUGUGCAAACACGAAAGUGGACGUAUACGGUGUGACGCCUGCCCGGUGCCGGAAGGUUAAUUGAUGGGGUUAUCCGUAAGGAGAAGCUCUUGAUCGAAGCCCCGGUAAACGGCGGCCGUAACUAUAACGGUCCUAAGGUAGCGAAAUUCCUUGUCGGGUAAGUUCCGACCUGCACGAAUGGCGUAAUGAUGGCCAGGCUGUCUCCACCCGAGACUCAGUGAAAUUGAACUCGCUGUGAAGAUGCAGUGUACCCGCGGCAAGACGGAAAGACCCCGUGAACCUUUACUAUAGCUUGACACUGAACAUUGAGCCUUGAUGUGUAGGAUAGGUGGGAGGCUUUGAAGCGUGGACGCCAGUCUGCGUGGAGCCGACCUUGAAAUACCACCCUUUAAUGUUUGAUGUUCUAACGUUGGCCCCUUACCGGGGUUGCGGACAGUGUCUGGUGGGUAGUUUGACUGGGGCGGUCUCCUCCCAAAGCGUAACGGAGGAGCACGAAGGUUAGCUAAUCCUGGUCGGACAUCAGGAGGUUAGUGCAAUGGCAUAAGCUAGCUUGACUGCGAGCGUGACGGCGCGAGCAGGUGCGAAAGCAGGUCAUAGUGAUCCGGUGGUUCUGAAUGGAAGGGCCAUCGCUCAACGGAUAAAAGGUACUCCGGGGAUAACAGGCUGAUACCGCCCAAGAGUUCAUAUCGACGGCGGUGUUUGGCACCUCGAUGUCGGCUCAUCACAUCCUGGGGCUGAAGUAGGUCCCAAGGGUAUGGCUGUUCGCCAUUUAAAGUGGUACGCGAGCUGGGUUUAGAACGUCGUGAGACAGUUCGGUCCCUAUCUGCCGUGGGCGCUGGAGAAUUGAGGGGGGCUGCUCCUAGUACGAGAGGACCGGAGUGGACGCAUCACUGGUGUUCGGGUUGUCAUGCCAAUGGCACUGCCCGGUAGCUAAAUGCGGAAGAGAUAAGUGCUGAAAGCAUCUAAGCACGAAACUUGCCCCGAGAUGAGUUCUCCCUGAGACUUUAAGUCUCCUGAAGGAACGUUGAAGACGACGACGUUGAUAGGCCGGGUGUGUAAGCGCAGCGAUGCGUUGAGCUAACCGGUACUAAUGAACCGUGAGGCUUAACCUUACAACGCCGAAG
rnacentral:rRNA from 2 species